UUUUUUUUUUUUUUUUUUGGUUUAUUCUUGAACCAGAUUGUUAAGAGGAAGAGCUCUGCAGGGCUUGGGCAAAGCCAUUUGCAGCUGAAGGGGGCCCUCCUCCGGGGGGAGAGGCGGCUGCUGUCACUGCGUUGCUCUCACCCGCUGUCCGUGCUUUCCAAAAUGUCUUGAAUUUGGACCAGCAGAAAAUCUGAACUCUAAUGCCAGAGAACAAAAUUUAAGAAUGUGAAAAUUGUGUCUUGCUGUAUACUGCAACUUUAAUGAUAAUGAGCACUUCUGAGUUCGUUAUUGAGGUUUAUAUAAUGCCUGAAAAGUUUAAUUGCUGGUUUCCCUUGUCUCCCCUUUCAGAACACGAGUAAUAAGUUUUUGUCAGCAGCCCUUCCCUGUGGGAGGCAACUCCUGUUAAUUGUUUUAGCUCUCAUGCUUUACAAUGGGUGGGUGUAGUCGUAUGUACCUGUCCUUUGCAAGCCACGCUUCUCAAGAUAAAAGAUAUGAUGGGCGCGUGUCAGAUACCUAACUGAUGUGUCGACAGGAAGCUUUUAAAUCAAUGUGUAUAAUGAUAGCAAAUACACCAUAAUGGAUUGAAAUUGGCUCACGUUUAGACUCUUAGAAAUGGAAUUUCACAUCUGCAUGGGUAUGGCUAAAAAGUGGAUUUUGCCCUUGUGGAUACACAACCCAAAGACUCCUUCUGUUACGAUGCUAUAAAGUUUGACGAAGGCAUUAUAUAAUUGUUUUCAUCACUUUCAGAUCUUAAUGAAUCGUACUUUAUUGUAAUAUAUAUUCAUUGCUUUACUCAGUUAAAAAGAAAGUUACUGCUUUUAUCUUAUAUGAAAAACAAGGGAAUUUGAUAAAGCAUUCAUUAUUUUCAUAUUACUAGUAUUAACAGAAUAGAACUAGUACUAUUUAAUUUUAGAUCUUCAUAGCUAGCUUGUUAAUAACUCAUAUUUUCCUGUGUUGUAUCCUACUAUUUUUUCUAUUUUUUUCCCAAAUACUCUGCAUUCUUGAGAAAAAACAAAUCCAAUGAGUGGAUAAGUGCAAUAUUCAUAGAAUAAACAGGCCCCUCAUCCAGGACUUGGAGUGGAACGUGCAGUGUGAAAUGUUUGCAAUUCUCUAUUCAUGCACUCUUAAGGGAAGGGGAAAUGCAGGGGAGGGGAUGGCUGGAUGAGAAUCUGACCCUUGGGUAGGUAGGGACUGACAGAUAGCUGGGGUGGUUUGGAGCGGGAAUGACUGCUUUCCAGGAAAAAGCAUCACCUGUUAAUGAAAAUACAAGGAUUAUGCAGCAUGCUGCCAGGAUUAUGUGUAGAAUGUGCAUUAACAUCCUUAUCAAUACAGGACUUCUGAGCUAUGCUUGAAACACUCUGUAUGCCAUCCAUGCAUGAUACUGUCUUCUGGUAUGUCUCUGCUGGUUAUGUCCUCUGUUAUGCUUCGGAAUCGAUAGUGACUUCAGAAGGGAAAAUAAUUCUGCUGGUGCGGUCCCAAGUUUUGAUACUGUAUUCUUACUAGUAUUUAUUGCAAGAGCUAUGGGAGUAUUUUUACAGGUCUUUCUUUUCCGUCCCUAUUGUUAACCUAAGACAAAAAGUCCCUGUUUUAUCUGGGUUAGUUCUCACCUGCAGAAUUUCACAGCUGAUUUGGGUAUUGAUUUCAUACUUUGCUUGCAAAGGCUGAUCACUCAGGUCCAAAAUAAAGUUGGGCAGAAACUUUGUUCUUCAAAAGAGGUUUUGUCUUAAAUUCUAUUUGAAUGGAAAGAGAACUUCCAUUUGUAAAAAAUAAUGUGACUUUCCAGGUAGCAGCAAAAUCUACUACCUUUGAAAAACUGGACUGUUUUCAUAAGAUAUGGGAAAAAUGUGAAAGCCAGAGCAUUCGAUUUUCUGAGCUCUGGGAAGUACAUCUCCCAUGGCUCGUGUCCCUGGAGAGGGGAUGUACCUCAGCUUUCUGCUUAAUUUUUGUCCUGCUGUUCUUACGUUUGUCAAAAAGCAUUAAUAUUACCAGAGACCUUUGCAUUCAAAGAGGAAAACUGAAUUCUGCAGCUGUACUGAAAUAGUAUCAAUUAUAUGGCUUUUUAAAACCUCUAAUACUUUACAAAUGAAUUUGAUUUUGAGGAGCUAACUCCAAUUCUUUCACAUGCUCUUGUCUAACCUGGCAAGAAGUCCAUGAGCAUCAGUAGGGUUACACUGACAGAAGACCCGCAGUGGAGCAAAGCGCCUUGCGGGCACUCAGCAUGGAAUGUUCUCAGCAAAAGCAAGCACCGUGAAUUCAGUUUCUACACCUCCAAAGGGUGCACAGGACUGCUAAGCCUCGGUGCUGCCAUGCCAUGAUUCACUUCCCUGCAGGUCUUGCAGCUUUCUGAAACCAACUGGAGCUUUGCUGCUAUUUGCUGGUGGCUUCCUAUCACCGGCAGCUCCUUGUCUGGCAAGUUUAGAUGCUAUUUAGCCACAUUGCAAAGUGGUGCGUAUAAAUGCAGUGUUUGAUAGAUGCCAACAGUACCAGUAGGAUGGUCUGAGAGCAAAUGUUUGUGUAAGUUAUUUUAUUUUCAUUUGCUUGUAGUUGCUUGGUAGAAGCAGGGACCACCAAUGCAGCAAUGCAUGGGGAAUGUGUCUGCACACUUGAACUGUUUGAUGGCCUCUGCUAGCUCUGCCCAGUGCUUGCAUUUCUCCUACUCUCUGUGCUGCUCAGUAGUCAUGUCUCGUGCAUGUGUCUGUAACUUUCAAAUAAAGUACUGUAUGUAGGGCUGGAUCCAGAAGACUCCACAGUCAGUUGACUUUGGAUUGGGAUGUAGGUUGCUGUUGCUGCUUUUCCUCCUCCAUCUUAGACCCACCUUGGAGCAAAGCACAGAUGUUUGUAAAAAGUCACCCAUAACUCUACUUUGGGGUGUCAGUUUUGUGGGGUGUGCAUGCAUUGCCAAGGGUGGAAUGAGGGGAUCUUUUCUUGGGUGCCCCCACAUCAGGGCUAGGGCUCCGCAGUGAUUCCUGGAGUGAAAGCUGUGCUGCACUGCUUGCGGGCCUGACUGGCGUAGGCAGAACAAGUUAGUUUCUCCCAUUUUAUAAUGUCAGGGCUGGGCUGGUCCCAUUAACAAUGUUCUUCAUUUGUUCUCGCAUCAAGGUAGCGUUGAUUCUAGUUGGAGAGUGCAAUUUUUUUGUUUUGUGUUUGUUUUUAAUAAAUAAAUUUGGUUUAAAGCUUCACACUGGCGUUUUUACAGACCUGUUCUUGUCAGCAUAAGCCACUACUGUCCUGAGUUGAGACUCCUGUUUGUUACUGAAUCAAAAUAAUUAUGGGAAUUAUGUUGAUAAUUUGGAAAUAAAUGAGAGGUAACUAUAUUGGCAGGGGAGAGAUAGAUAACAUAUGAGGAAAAAUAUGUUUCUAAUAAGGCCAUAAAUUAUUGGGUCUGACACUGCAGGUGCUUUCUCUGUAUAGAUGGGUUUAAUAUGUCACUGCUCUGUGUUAGGAUUUUUCAUUAGUGAGAAAAGUUGAAGUUUUUCACUCCAUGAUAUACUAUGACAAUCUGUAUCCUGAAGCCAAUGAUCCACCAAAGGAAGAUGAACAUGGGUUACAUGUUUGUUGUAGCUGAGGCAGUUCGUGUGCCUGGGAGUUUGCAUACACUGAGGUUUGGCUGAUGGAGGGGGCAGGGGUGGCUGUUCCAGGUCUGCCUGCGUUGGCCCUCUGUGAAACAACCCUGUGCUAGUGGCACUUCUGGUUUAGUGGUCUUCCCCUGAUGCUCAGGGUUAUUUGGUUACGAUGGUGCCUGUGAAUCUUGGUCCCUGCUUGGUGGAGGAGAAAAACAGGGGAGGGAGAAUCACUUGGCACUGCAGGAGGUUUUUUAAAAUACAACAUUUAAAAUUAAAAUAAAUAUUCAGGCUUCUCCAGAUAUUCCUCUUCAAAGCUGUGUUAGUGAUGCUGUAUUUGAUGUCUGAAAUUUAAGCAACGUGGCAGCUUUCUCUGCACAAACAGUACUUUUGUGGUUUAAGAGCUUGUUCUUGAACUGCUUCUGGGUCACCAGGGAAGUAGUAAUAAAUAAACAAAAUCCCAUCAUCACCCUUGGGGUUUAGGUUAGGGGGAUGUCAAAUUCUGUUCUGACUCUGCAUCCCCUUGAGCAUCCAGAUUCAGUUUGUUUCUGUCCCCUAGGAGCAGGGCAGAACAGUGCAGUCAUUGGAACUUAGCCUGUAACAAUUAGUAAACUGGAAAAAAAGGAAAAGGAAUUAAAAAGAAACCUUUUAAAAAAAUGAAAUAUUUCGGUGAAUAGCUGACUUAACUAUUUCCUGUCUUGGAUUUGGGGGACAGGGGAGUUAUAAUUGUUUCCAGUCUCUAGGAGGAAUUUUUCUGCAGCCUGCUGAAUAGGCUUGCUGAAAAGAGUUGCUCAUUACUCAUGAUGAGUUCAAACCUGGAGUAUUGCAAAAGCAAAGUGUGUGUAGCAUUACAAUGACUUUUUUGUACUGAGGGUCCAAACUGAGUAUUGUGGGGUCAAUAGUGUACAGGGUAAGGGCAUUUCUGCUGUCUGGCUAACCACAUUAUAUCAGUGCUGUUCCUUUAUUGCAGAUUUAAUUGCAGACAGCAGUGCUCGUUACUCUGUCUGCAGUGUUUGGGGAGAAUCAAGCAGAUGAGCCUGCUCAGUUAAGUCCCAAUAUCGGAUUUCAUGUUAGGAGAAGUCUUGCCAGCAGUUUGAUUGAUUGCUGCUUAGGCUAAAGUUCAGAUGCAGAUAACUCAAGGUGGGUGUUGAAAGCAGCUCAGCUGGAUCUUUACAUCUGUAGCUAUUUUCAGAGCUGUUAAUUAGCCCAGAUUGUCUCUGGAACUGGUGGUUAGUCAGAUACAGAGAGCCUAAACCUGCUGUUGAAUGAAGGCUGAAAUCUGUUCAAGCAGUAGUGCUCCCCUCCGUUAACGGAGCAAUUGCAUGUGUCUGGACUGGAAACUCGUACAGGUUUUGCUGUUCCAAAUUUGUAAUUGAUAAAUAAAUGAUCUAGGCCUGGUCUAACUGAGGUUUGGCAGUGGGUUUCCUAGGUGGUUGAUGUUCUUAAUGUGACCUUAAAUAUUAGAUGCUGUUGUCAUUUCUGUGUUGGUGUAGCAGUCCAUUUUCUAGUGGUUAGGUGGUGGGCAUGUACCUGGUGGGAGCUUGAGAGAGUAUGUCGGUGACCAGAGAUAGAGAAAUGUGUGGCUGGUUUUAGUGUGUGUGGUCAAGUUGGUGACAUUUUUUUGUCUUCUUUUUGUUUGGUUGGUUUAUUUUUAACAUGGGAACCAUUCUGUCUGUUCUGUUUGGGGAAAAGUCUAGAAGUUGGUGGGGUUUCUGUGGCGUGUAUAUGAGAAGGAGUAACUGAGAGCUUUCCUUUUUGUUCUUUUUUUUUCUUUUUAAGAAAGUUUAUGGGUGGGAGUCCAUUCGGUUUGGUUUGGGUUGCGAGUUAAGCCAAGAGAGGAAGAAAAUGAGUCUGGGAAAACCCUUUUCUUGUGGUAACAGCUUUGGACCAUGUUUUGUUGUGGCCUCUGAUCCCACUCCGCUGAAGGUAGUGGAGCAAAUUGUUCAUCAUGCAGAUGUUACAGCUUUUGGCAAAGUAUUGAUUCUUCCAGAGCUUCCAGGUAUUUUGAAAUUCAGGGCAUUAGUCCUUAAUAUACCUAUAGCAAAUGUAAGCUAGAAACAGAAAUAGUAACUGCAGCCUCAUGCAUUGUCCAAUGUUUGUUUAAUGAACUUGAUAUGGUGACCAGUUGGAUAAAACUGUUUGUACAGUGAACAACUCCUGCAAGGAUCCAGAUGUGCUUGAGUCUCUGAGAUGCUUUCCUAGAAAAGGAAAUCACAUGCAUGAUGGAAAAUUUUGCCUUUCAGAGUCAUCACAGUAAAACUGAAACCCAGAAAAAUUACUUCUUUUUGCACUUAACAGUAUCUUUUGCUAUUGAUGGUAAGAGUUACUGUUAAUGAGGGGUCAGAUGCUUCAGUCUGAACUGGCACAAAACAGGAAACCUGUUUAUGACCAGUCCCUGAGUCUGCAUGCGAACAUGAUGAAUUUGAUGCAGAGUAGAGUACUAGUUAACAAAGAUGAGUAACUUCUCUGUGGGCCAACACUAAAGAUCAUUGGGGAGAACAGAGCUCUUCUUUUUGCUAAGUGACCCUGUAGAAAUGUCCCUCAGGCUUUAGCACAGAUCAGCUGGGGACCUGUGAUGAUUUAGCUGAUAUGUAUGGUACUGUGAGCCUGAUUCUGUGACUGGGACAAUAGAAGUGCAUCUCUGUCCCAAUGACAGUUAAUGAAAUUAUCAUAGCACAUUGUUUUCGUUUGCUCUGGAUAUGACAGUGCUGAGGGGAAACAGUUGCAUGAAGCAUUAUCUUCCUCCUAAUCCAGACUUACAGACUUUACGUGGCUUUAGUGUCCAGUCCAGAACUGGUUUCAGAGCUGUCCUCAUGGUUAUGUUGCAGGCCAAGUGCAGUAAAUAGGAGGUGGAAUAUCACCAGAUCAACCUGUGUCUGCUCAUGUCAUCGGUGUGGGUGGCUGGUUCAGGGGUUUGCUGCCCCGUGUGGGACAGGAGCUGCACACAGGGGCUGCCCUCUUCACGAUUACUACCGAAUGGCUACACGCCAUGCCCAAGUGCUUGCUUUUAAUCAUGUCUCUGCCUGUAAAGGUUAAAACUCAGCAUGGGUGUCUCAACACAAAAUGAGAAACUCAUAUUGUCUUGGGCAACUGUGCAUGUGAACAUGCAGAGCAAAAAUUGUGCCUAAAAGUAGAUCUCUGCAUUUCUUUUCAGGCAUUUAUUAGAGCUGGUGUUAUCUCAGAAUUGAACAGCAUUUAAUAACAGUUAAUUAAGACUGCUCAAAACUUCUGGAGGAAAAGAUAAAUUGAGUUCUGGUUGCUUUUAGAGGAGGGAGUUGCAAUAAAUGUAAAAUAUUGCAAGGUGCUUUAUGAAUUUCAUUUUUCUCCCAGGAUUGUCACAGAUUCUUGUGACCAUCCUGGCCCACAUUGGUGCUGUGGCACAGCAACUUGGUAGUGAUACCUCUCUGCAUCUGUGAUGGACAUGUGCUUAUGGGAAAAGAUAAGCCUAAAAAGGGCCUGGAGUAAAACUAUGCUCGAUAAAAGAGCUUCUGAUUUGCAUGUUCUAGAUAUGCGGAAAUAACUUGGUUUCAGGCAACUUCAGCUCCUUCCAGGCAUCUGCUAUCACACACCCUGCAGAUGCUGCAGUCAGCUGGGUUUUGGAGGGUGGCAAAUGCUAGUGGAAGGGAGAAUUCAGGAUGCACACUGUCACUGCCCUUACUGUUCUUCAGCCAUGCCCGAAAUCUGCUGGGCCAAAGCAGGAUCAGACCCUUGGCACAGUGUUUGCCGUGUCCCACAGGGCCAAGCUCAGCUUGACAAGUGCUUUGAGUGAUGUUGGCUGGCGCUGUGCACUGCUGCACAGUGAUGAUCCUUUCCUCUCCACAGGACCUGGGGAGGUUGUGAGGGACUGCCAGGGUUUGAGGGCUGUUUCCUCAGAGUUAUUACAAGUUCUUGCAAUGUGAACCUCUAAUGUUUUCAAAGACUCAGGCAGAAAGGACUUGCUAAACAGACUGUACCUGUCAUCUCCCAGUUCAUUGAUUGCUUGGACCAAAGGUGGUGCUAAAUCUGAUCUUUAUCUGUAAUAUUUAUAUUUUGUUGGACUUCUUUUUUUUUUUAAAGUGUUUGAUAAAACAGAUGCAGUGUCCUUCUUACAUGAGAAAUCUAGUGCCCGGCUUGAGAUACAUCAAAACUCAAUGGACCUUCAGGGUCCACAAUUGUUGCUUGUUAACAUUUGAGCAGGCUUGCAGUGUUUUGGGGGGAGGUGGGAAAAGGGUACUCUAUCUUCAAAUGCUUGCAGACUGUAAGAAUUGUGAUUUUUGUUUGUUUGUUGGUAUUUUGUUUACAUUGCCUCUUAUGCCCUAAGGAAAAAUAAAUUUUUGACCUUUU
rnacentral:lncRNA from 1 species